AGCAAUAAACUAUUUUUAAAAUUAAGCCGCCUGAGGUCUGAGGCCGGGGGGGAAGCUUGGGGCACUUACCACAGUGCAGCAGAGGGGCCAGAACCACCAGAGGAGAGCCAGGGCCAGAAGCAGGAACAGGAUCAGCAGGGCGAUCGCCAGGAUGGAGCCAUCGGACUGCGGGGCCGAGAGAGAGGGCGGUCAGCAGUGGGGCCGGCUGUGCGCGCAACCAGCAUGGAGGCCCCAUUCUUCUCUUGGAACAACAGCCUGAAGGACCAAUCCUGCAGGAGACAGAGCAGAUGGCUGCCUUUGCAGCUGGGCACUGAGAUGGCCUACACCGCCAUCUGCCUCCGGACCAUCACCCUGUGCCCGGUGACAGCCUCCCACUCCCUGGAACUGCUGUUCCCGCCACCCCUUGGGCUGGACUUGGGACAAUUCUCAACUCAGCCUGCUUGCCUGAGCCCGUGUCUCGUAGAAAAAUACUGAGGCAAGGACAGAAGAAGCAACUUGCCCAAGGUCACAGGGAGAAACCAGAAUUUAAAACUGGGCCAUUUGGUAAGACAUGAAAGCAACCUAAAUGUCCACUGACAGAUGAAUGGAUAAAGAAGAUAUGGUACAUAUAUACAAUGGAAUACUACUCAGCCAUAAUAAAGAAUGAA